CCUGAAAGCACCCAAGUGGGCCAAAGGUGGGCCUCAUGUAAGAUAACCAUCUGGGCCCCACUAAAGACCCAGUCGGAGCCCAUUAAAAUCUACCUGGGCAAACCCAUGUGGGGCCACCAUGGAACCCGUGGACAAACCCUUUUGGGACCCAUAUUGACAGCCCUCUUUUAACCCAUAUGGGGCCCACCUAGGUAUGCUGGCUGGGAGCUGACAGACUCCUGGCCUCAGCUAGUUUCUGUGCUCGCAAAGAUGCUGCAGACAAUGUUCCAUUCAUGAAAACGUUCCCAGGGCACCUUCAAGAUCUGAACAUUUAUUUUAGGAACGGUGUCAAACACACAGCCUAUUGAAAGCAGCUUCCAGUGUUCUACAAGUGGACAGCCUAAACAUAACACAGGUGAAGGACACAAGAUGGCUGUCCCAAGAUAGAUCUCAGCUCUUCAGUGAAAUCUGGCAGCUGUACAGGCAGCUCUUGCUGAGGAGGUAGAGAAAAAGGACCUUGUAGCAAGGGGUCUUUAUACGUAGUGUGCAACAUACAGGUUUGUAGCUGCCAUCCAUCUCAAAGCAGAUGUUCUUCCCCACCUGACACGGCUUUCAAAGGUUUUCCAAAAGGAAGUAGUCAAUUUUUCAAGAAACAUGUGUAUGUUACAGUUGAGGCCAUUCAACAAAUCAAGGAGGCAGGAGAUGUGUGACCUCCAGGGUCAUAUCUCAGUUUUUUGGAAGAAAGAGUGAAAUGCCUCAGCAUACAGGCAGAGGAGGAGCGGAGAAGCCACAGGGGUGAUUUUGGACUCGUUUUUGAAUUCAGGUCUUUAAUAUUCAGUGUUUCCAGUUACAAACUUAGAAAAUAUUAUAGAAUUAGACAACUAACUUUCACAAGGUAAUGGAGCCAUGCUUGGACCAUCUGAUUGAGCAUCAUGAGAGGAGAUUCCCAGAGAUGAACAUCCUUACUGGAUUCAACAUACUCAACCCACAAGCAGGAAGGAAGAAGAUGACUUUCAAGAGAACUUGCAACUGCUUGUCAAAAGGUUUCCCACUUUGGAUGAAGGGGCAGUACUCCAAGAAUGGACCAGUUUAAAAGUCUGUCUUGGCCAAGGCAUUUUUAUGGACAAGUCAAAGCUGGAGGUGAUGCAGGAAAUGGCCUCUGAUUUGAUGAGCUGAAGCUCCUCUACCCAAAUCUGUCCCUCCUCUCUGCCGUUGCAUUGACAGUUCCAUUCUCAGGUGUGAACUGUGAAAGAGUCUUUUCAGCUAUGAACAGGAUAAAGACUGACCUCAGAAACAGACUUCAGGGCAAAAGCCUCCCAGCGAGUUUACAAAUCAGAAUAAAUGGACCCAGUGUGACUGACAUGGACUUCGAUAAGGCUCUGGAAGAAUUCUUUACAAAACCCAGAAGGAUGAUGUGCCACAAAAAUUCAAAGAUCAAAGCUCAACACAGUAGAGCAUCUCUCUUAUUUUUUUGAGUUUUCUUUCAGAGGCUUUGAUGUGAGACGUGUCUUGGUGCUUUGAUUGCACUUAAUUUAUGUUUAUUUCAUUUGUAUAUCUUUUAAGGUAGGAUUCAACAAAAGUGCAAACAAUUAGUACUUAUUUUAAUUGUAUUUUUAGUUAACAGUUUAAAAAGUGUUCCUUUUUAUAAGGCUGUAGUUGUGGAAAUAUUCUUUUUACAGUCGGCCGGCAGUCGGCCUCUUGUCUGGGGGAAACCCUCUAGUCUGUUUUUAAGAGAUAGCAGUCAAGUUUCCCUGCUUUAAAUUUAAUCCAAACUUUCUCUGAUGUUUCAGCACUUCACUUGAACAUGGACAAACUUCUACGGUUAAAGAUUGUGAUUUAGAUUCUGUCUGUAAUAUUCCUGUCAAACAAAAUGUCACUUAUUUAGGCAUAAUUAUCUCUAGGGAUGAUUUGGAAAAGUGUUCAUCAAAUUUUGCUCCCUUAGUUGAUAAAACCAAAAAACCCUUUAAUUUAUGGCUUCAAAAAGAUCUAAGCCUUGCAGGACAGAUAUUGUUAUCUAAAGCAGAGGGAAUAUCACGGCUCCAUGCAUUUAGACAACCAAACUAUAAAAUCUAUUGACCAAAUGGUAUUCAAUUCCUUAUGGAAAAAUUGUAUACAUUUCUGAAGAAAAUCAGUGGUAAUAAAUUCUUAUGAAAAAGGAGGGUUGAGUUUUCUAGAUUUCCCAACUCUAAAUAAAACAUUCAAAAUAAAUUGGUAUCUAAAAAAAUCCAUCCUCCAUUUGAAAUACUUUUACAAAUGACAUUUUCUCCAGUGUAGGGUUUUCAUUUCCUCCUCUGUAAUUAUAAUGUAGAGAAAACACCAGUCAAACUUUCUGCAUUUCACAAACAAGCACUUCUUUCAUGGCACUUAUGUAUGUAAACAUAAGUUUUCUCCACAUAAAUUCUACUUCUGAAAUAAAGAAUACAUCCUUCACAAAAAUAAA